GAGUUUGAUCCUGGCUCAGAACGAACGCUGGCGGCAUGCCUAACACAUGCAAGUCGAACGGGAUCCUGGUUUCGGCCAGGUGAGAGUGGCGGACGGGUGAGUUAACGCGUGGGAACCUGCCCAGUGGUGGGGGAUAACUGCGGGAAACUGCAGCUAAUACCGCAUGAGCCCGAAAGGGGAAAGAUUCAUCGCCAUUGGAGGGGCCCGCGUUCGAUUAGGUAGUUGGUGGGGUAAUGGCCUACCAAGCCUGCGAUCGAUAGCUGGUCUGAGAGGAUGAUCAGCCACACUGGGACUGAGAUACGGCCCAGACUCCUACGGGAGGCAGCAGUGGGGAAUAUUGGACAAUGGGGGCAACCCUGAUCCAGCAAUGCCGCGUGAGUGAUGAAGGCCUUCGGUUGUAAG
rnacentral:rRNA from 1 species